rnacentral:lncRNA from 1 species
ACGCAAUUCUACUUCCAUUUUCAUCGUUUUGGACCGUUUAAAUUCAAAUUUGUUCGGUUCGUUUGCCAUUUUCAACGUUAGGGAAGAGUUUUUACCGAUCAAAAUCGUCAAACUUCCACUUCGUCGUUCCUCUCGCCAUUUAAAGUUUCGGCCUGCCAUUCUCCGCCGUCAAGAUCCUAUCUGCCACGCCCCUUCCUCCUCGCUGCCCUCAUUCUGGGUAUUGCCUUUGAUGCUCUUUGUCGUUUUUGCUUCCUUGAAUGUUUGAAUU